AACGAACGCUGGCGGCAGGCCUAACACAUGCAAGUCGAACGCCCUAGCAAUAGGGAGUGGCGCACGGGUGCGUAACGCGUGGGAAUAUGCCCUUGACUGCGGGACAACGUUUGGAAACGAACGCUAAUACCGCAUAAUGACUCCGGUCCAAAGAUUUAUCGGUCAAGGAUUAGCCCGCGUCUGAUUAGCUAGUUGGUGAGGUAACGGCUCACCAAGGCGACGAUCAGUAGCUGGUCUGAGAGGAUGAUCAGCCACACUGGGACUGAGACACGGCCCAGACUCCUACGGGAGGCAGCAGUGAGGAAUAUUGGACAAUGGGCGCAAGCCUGAUCCAGCCAUGCCGCGUGAGUGACGAAGGCCUUCGGGUUGUAAAGCUCUUUCAGAUGCGAAGAUAAUGACGGUAACAUCAGAAGAAGCCCCGGCUAAAUUCGUGCCAGCAGCCGCCGUAA
rnacentral:rRNA from 1 species